rnacentral:lncRNA from 1 species
CAGAGCAGGGAGACCCAAGCAGUCUACUUCCGAGGCAGGCCCUUCCCCGUGGCUGAGGCAGGGAGGGUCUCCUCAUGAGGACGUGGCUCUGCGACUUUACUUUCACUGGAAACGGAAGCUGUCUGUGUUUCCACCUUGCAUGCUUGUCGGGGGAUGUAGGCUGUUGAUGACCAGGAUGAAAAAUUUAUAUGGGGAGGUGUCAGGAGAACAUUUCAGGAGCCCGGGACUCCAACCUGCCGGCUCUUUCCAAGCUGGAAAUACCUUCUCCUGAGCCACGGUGAUGGACGUGAGGAGAGAAGGACUCAGGGCAGCGUCUGGGGUGCUGACCCCAGCCAUCGACGUGAGACGCUGGCCCUGCAGUGCAGCCCAGCCCCUCAGUGGUGAAUCAGUGCAUGUGGACACAGGUACCAAUAUCCCCUUUGCUUUCUUUUUAUGAAGAACUCUGUCUUUUAGGGAUUGUACUUACAUGCUACUGUCAGGGAGAUCUUCCACCCAUCUCAGGAACUGAAGGAUAAAUACUCAGCAACGUUUCAGCACAGUUGCCUCUUUUGUUUGUUAUAAAACAAAAUACAGCGGGCCAGUUUCCCAGCCAGUGGAAAAAUGCCUGUGUCUUGAUAGAAAUAGGCUUCGGUUUCAUGCAAAGGAAAUUUGAGCGAGGACAGGGCACACAGUCUGUACACAGCAGUUCCACGGUGCUGUGAUCGCUCUAAUAUUC